rfam:Ornithorhynchus anatinus chromosome X1, whole genome shotgun sequence.
AGCAGUGUGGCUCAGUGGAAAGAGCACUGGUUUGGGAGUCAGAGGUCAUGGGUUUGAAUCCCAGCUCUGCCA